GAUGAACGCUAGCGGCAGGCUUAACACAUGCAAGUCGAGGGGUAGAAGUUGCUUGCAACUUUGAGACCGGCGCACGGGUGCGUAACGCGUAUGCAAUCUACCUUAUACAGAGGGAUAGCCCAGAGAAAUUUGGAUUAAUACCUCAUAGUAUAAUUGAAUGGCAUCAUUUAAUUAUUAAAGUUCCAACGGUAUAAGAUGAGCAUGCGUCCUAUUAGCUAGAUGGUAAGGUAACGGCUUACCAUGGCAACGAUAGGUAGGGGUCCUGAGAGGGAGAUCCCCCACACUGGUACUGAGACACGGACCAGACUCCUACGGGAGGCAGCAGUGAGGAAUAUUGGACAAUGGGCGCAAGCCUGAUCCAGCCAUGCCGCGUGCAGGAAGAAGCAUCUAUGGUGUGUAAACUGCUUUUGUACGGGAAGAAACACCCCUUCGUGAAGGGACUUGACGGUACCGUAAGAAUAAGGACCGGCUAACUCCGUGCCAGCCGCCGCAGUAA
rnacentral:rRNA from 1 species